GGAGAGAUACCCAAGAGGCUGAAGGGGGGAGAUUGCUAAUCUCCUAGGUCGGCUUUAAAACCGGCGCGAGGGUUCAAAUCCCUCUCUCUCCGCCA
rnacentral:tRNA from 1 species